GUCCACGCCGUAAACGAUGAGUGCUAGGUGCUGCGGGUAUUGACCCCUGCGGUGCCGUAGCUAACGCGUUAAGCACUCCGCCUGGGGAGUACGGCCGCAAGGCUAAAACUCAAAGGAAUUGACGGGGCCCGCACAAGCGGUGGAGCAUGUGGUUCAAUUCGACGCAACGCGCAGAACCUUACCUGGGUUAAAUCCACUCGAACCUUGCAGAGAUGCGGGGGUGCUCUUCGGAGAGCGAGUGAGAAGGUGCUGCAUGGCUGUCGU
rnacentral:rRNA from 1 species